rnacentral:rRNA from 1 species
ACGGAGGAUCCAAGCGUUAUCCGGAUAUAUUGGGCUUAAAGGGUGCGCAGGCGGAAUAAUAAGUCAGUGGUGAAAUCCUACGGCUCAACUGAAGAACUGCCACUGAUAUUGUCAUUCUUGAGUUUAAUUGAAGUGGGCGGAACGUGUCCUAGAGCGGUUAAAUGCUUAGAUAUGACACAGAACCCCGAUCGCGAAAGCAGCUCGCUGAGCUGGGACUGACACUGUUACACGGAAGCGUGUGGAUCAAAUAG